CUCCAAGUUCCCCAAUCCUGCUCCUUUGGCUCCUUCACAUAAACAAAGAUUUGCCUCCAACACAGCAGCCCCUCACUGUAAUGGACGAGCAGUGAAUUGACUUUGUUACCUCAAAAGAACUGAGGCUUUCCAGGCUUCCCCACCCAUCCCAGGGUGGGACAGAGAUGCCUCACCAAUGCCACUGGCCUUUCCUAGAGCCACCCACUCAGGGGUCACUCCUCUAGCCAAGGCUGCUGGACAUUUCCUUCUUGCUGCUCCUUCUGGCUUUCCCUUUCCACUGCUGGCUGUCCCACUUUCAUCAUUCAUAUGUCCCUGUGCACAGAACAGUUCUAUAGAAGCUGAGGUUCUUCUCUGAGACUCAGACUUUCAUUAAACAAAGAGGGGAAAAAAGAUAAAAUGUCUGGCCUUCACAGCUGUGAAUAAAACCUUCCAAGCAUGAAAAAGAAA